rnacentral:lncRNA from 1 species
GGAAUGAUCGCUCAUAUCUUGGCUUCCAAAAUAUGUCAGUGGAGCUAGUUCCAAUAUUCUGUAGGACAGUUUCCUUAGAAGCCAAAAAUAUAUUAAAAUCUAUUACCUGAAGAGGGCGUUUUUCUUGUAAGAAAUGGUCAGAUGCUCAUGAAAGGCAAUGUCGACAAAGUGGCUAUGAGGUCGUUGGAAAUAUGUUGUUAGCAAGAUCUAGCACAGAGGAGCAGGAUCCAAGUCUAGAAUGGUAUCAGCAGGGGAAUGGUGUAUGCCCUCUUGGUUUGUUUUAUAUGGUUGGCAAUUGAUCAUUUCUCCAACCUCAAGGCACCCAGAGCUCUUAUCAUGAAACCAAAUCUAUCAGGAACUCUCUUUUUGGUCCGGGGACUGCUCUAAGUGCAAAAUAAUUGGCCUACUAGAGUGGGAAAAGAUGUUUGCAAGAGUAAGAAUGGAAGAGUGGGGUUGAUCAUCCUGUGGAAGUUUACUAACUCUGUUCUCUUUAAGUGGUUCUAGAUGCUGAAUAAAGAUCAUUGUUGUUGGGGAAAGCAGUGAAAUCACAGUGGUAUAGCAGAAGUAGCAGAAAGAGCAUGGCUCAAAUUGGAGCAGAGAUGGCGCUAACUUCUCCUUAUUGCCAGUCUGAUGAUAAAAUAUAUCUGAGGUGUUGGGGGGAUGAUCUGGGUGAUGGAUCCUCUCUUGGUAUCAAACCUGGAAAUAUACAUCUGCUGCCUG